rnacentral:rRNA from 1 species
UACGGGGGGGGCAAGCGUUGUUCGGAAUUACUGGGCGUAAAGGGCUCGUAGGUGGCCAACUAAGUCAGACGUGAAAUCCCCAGGCUUAACCCGGGAACUGCGUCUGAUACUGGAUGGCUAGAGUUUGGGAGAGGGAUGCGGAAUUCCCAGUGUAGCGGUGAAAUGCGUAGAUAUUGGGAGGAACACCAGUGGCGAAGGCGGCUCACUGGGGAUUUUCUGACGCUGAGGAACGAAAGCCAGGGGAGCGAACGGG